UACAAAUAUUGUACUUACAUUUCAGUGCAGAGUAUAUGGAGCAAUAUAAAUAAGUCAUUGUCUUGAUGAAAUGUUAGUUUGUACGGACUUUGCUAGUGCUUGUUAUGUAGCUUGUUGUAAAACUAGGCAACUAUCUAGCUGGGUUGAUGUACACCCUGGAAGACCUCUGUGUACCAGCAGUGGUCUACAUACCCCUGGUUGAGAACCACUGAGUUAGGUCAUAGGAUGAAGCAAGGUGGCUUUGUGUCCUCUCAGAUUCUUGGCUGUGCUCCCACACUUCUAGUAGUUUCAUACCUCACAUUAGGGUGACCAGAUAGCAAGUGUGAAAAAUCGGGACAGUGUGUUGGGGGUAAUAGGUGCCUAUAUAUGAAAAAGAACUAAAUAUUGGGACUAUCCCUAUAAAAUCGGGACAUCUGGUCACCCUACCUCACAUGCAUUUUCCACCAGUGGGCUGCUUCCAGCAAGAAGCCUAGAAGUGCAAACUGUAAAUAACAGCAUCACAAAGACAAACAUCUCUUUUCUGUCAUAGUGAGAAGGUAGUAAUGGAGCUUUCUAGGGUGUGUAUUGGAAAUUCCCCUGCCCAGGGAUCAGGCCUUGCACUGCGGAAGAAUGUGUAAGCAGAGUGAUGAGCUCUACCCUGACAUCUGGUGGUGAAUAUCAGAGCCAGUUUUGAUUCCAUUAGGAGUCUAGUUAUAGGCUGCUGAGCUGAAUUGACUUUGGGCCAAUGGUGUACGAUCACUGAGGCUCCCCUCCUACAAGCUAAAAUUACGAAGAGCUGAAAUCACUGAGUUGUGUUAAGUAGUGGGUGGGGGCUGAAGAUAUAUCAUGGAGCACUUUGUGGGAUGGUGGGAGUGGCUCACGGGAUGAUGAGCAGAGCAAUUUGUGGCUGGUGGAGCGGAGCCCCACAGAGAGGUAACCCCCCCCCCCAUUUCCACCCAGGUUGGGAGGUAAAACUCUGCAGAUAAACUUUUGAAUUCUGGGGCUGCCAUGACCAGGGACAGGGGCUUUUGGGUUGUUGGACUUUUGGGAUUUUGGGUGACUUUUGGGUUGCUGGACUCAAGAACUAAAGGGAAAGGACACGGCCCAAUUUGCUUAGGGUGGGUUUUGGCUCAUGGAUUGUUAUGAAUCCUGUUGGUGGUGUUUCCCCAACAUAAUGCCACAUUGUUUCUCUCUGUUAUUAAAAGGGUUUUGUCACA